rnacentral:rRNA from 1 species
UACGAAGGGGGCUAGCGUUGUUCGGAAUUACUGGGCGUAAAGCGCGCGUAGGCGGUCUGACAAGUCGGGGGUGAAAUCCCGAGGCUCAACCUCGGAACUGCCUUCGAUACUGUCAGUCUUGAGGUCGGGAGAGGUGAGUGGAACUCCGAGUGUAGAGGUGAAAUUCGUAGAUAUUCGGAAGAACACCAGUGGCGAAGGCGGCUCACUGGCCCGAUUCUGACGCUGAGGCGCGAAAGCGUGGGGAGCAAACAGG